AGAGUUUGAUCAUGGCUCAGAACGAACGCUGGCGGCGUGCUUAACACAUGCAAGUCUAACGAGAAAGUUCUCUUCGGAGAGCGAGUACAGUGGCGCACGGGUGAGUAAUACGUGGGUAACCUACCCUUCAGCCUGGGAUAACAUCUCGAAAGGGGUGCUAAUACCGGAUACGUUCAGAGAGACUUCGGUCUUUCUGGAGAAAGAUGGCCUCUACUUGUAAGCUGUCACUGAGGGAUGGGCCCACGGACCAUUAGCUUGUUGGUGGGGUAACGGCCUACCAAGGCAACGAUGGUUAGCUGGUCUGAGAGGAUGAUCAGCCACACUGGUACUGGAACACGGACCAGACUCCUACGGGAGGCAGCAGUGGGGAAUAUUGCGCAAUGGGGGAAACCCUGACGCAGCAACGCCGCGUGAGUGAUGAAGGCCUUCGGGUCGUAAAGCUCUGUCAGAGGGGAAGAAGGUGGUGAGGUUAAUACCCUCGCUUACUUGACGGUACCCUCAAAGGAAGCACCGGCUAACUCCGUGCCAGCAGCCGCGGUAAUACGGAGGGUGCAAGCGUUGUUCGGAAUCACUGGGCGUAAAGGGCGCGUAGGCGGUUGUCUAAGUCAGAUGUGAAAGCCCACGGCUCAACCGUGGAACUGCAUUUGAAACUGGGCGACUUGAGUACGGGAGAGGGAAGUGGAAUUCCAGGUGUAGAGGUGAAAUUCGUAGAUAUCUGGAGGAACACCAGUGGCGAAAGCGGCUUCCUGGACCGAUACUGACGCUGAGGCGCGAAAGCGUGGGGAGCGAACAGGAUUAGA
rnacentral:rRNA from 1 species